GUCCGCGUGGCCUAAUGGAUAAGGCGCCUGAUUUCGGAUCACGAGAUUGCAGGUUCGAGUCCUGUCGCGGACG
rnacentral:tRNA from 1 species